UGAGGAAUAUUGGUCAAUGGACGUAAGUCUGAACCAGCCAAGUCGCGUGAGGGAAGACUGCCCUAUGGGUUGUAAACCUCUUUUAUAAGGGAAGAAUAAGUUCUACGUGUAGAAUGAUGCCUGUACCUUAUGAAUAAGCAUCGGCUAACUCCGUGCCAGCAGCCGCGGUAAUACGGAGGAUGCGAGCGUUAUCCGGAUUUAUUGGGUUUAAAGGGUGCGUAGGCGGUUUAUUAAGUUAGUGGUUAAAUAUUUGAGCUAAACUCAAUUGUGCCAUUAAUACUGGUAAACUGGAGUACAGACGAGGUAGGCGGAAUAAGUUAAGUAGCGGUGAAAUGCAUAGAUAUAACUUAGAACUCCGAUAGCGAAGGCAGCUUACCAGACUGUAACUGACGCUGAUGCACGAGAGCGUGGGUAGCGAACAGGAUUAGAUACCCUGGUAGUCCACGCCGUAAACGAUGCUCACUGGUUCUGUGCGAUAUAUUGUACGGGAUUAAGCGAAAGUAUUAAGUGAGCCACCUGGGGAGUACGUCGGCAACGAUGAAACUCAAAGGAAUUGACGGGGGCCCGCACAAGCGGAGGAACAUGUGGUUUAAUUCGAUGAUACGCGAGGAACCUUACCUGGGUUUAAAUGGGAAAUGUCGUAUUUGGAAACAGAUAUUCUCUUCGGAGCGUUUUUCAAGGUGCUGCAUGGUUGUCGUCAGCUCGUGCCGUGAGGUGUCGGGUUAAGUCCCAUAACGAGCGCAACCCUUACCGUUAGUUGCUAGCAUGUAAUGAUGAGCACUCUAACGGGACUGCCACCGUAAGGUGAGAGGAAGGCGGGGAUGACGUCAAAUCAGCACGGCCCUUACACCCAGGGCUACACACGUGUUACAAUGGCCGGUACAGAGGGCCGCUACCAGGUGACUGGAUGCCAAUCUCAAAAGCCGGUCGUAGUUCGGAUUGGAGUCUGUAACCCGACUCCAUGAAGUUGGAUUCGCUAGUAAUCGCGCAUCAGCCAUGGCGCGGUGAAUACGUUCCC
rnacentral:rRNA from 2 species